AAUACAACCAACACCACACGUUUGUUUACCACAAAUAUAUGCAUCUGAUUUUUCUAUAUCAGAUCACUGAAAUAUAAUGGGAUUCCAAAUCCACUCACAUCUAGUAAAUACUAAACUUUACUUCAAACUUCAACCCCUAAAUACUAAACCCUAAACUUUAAACAUCACCCUUCCAUCUAAAUACUAAACUCUAAACCCUAAUUACUGAACUUUAAACUCAAAUAUAAACCUUAAACCCAAUUAUCAAAAUCUGAAAAUAGUAUAUAAUACUAUGUAAUAUUAAACUAAAUCGAAACCUAAUUUUUGAAUAGUUUAGGAUUUCAAUCCAACACACAACUCUUCAAUGCUAAACUCAGACAUAACUUUUGAAUACUAAACCAAAAAAAUGCUAUCACUACACCCAAACCUAAACUCCCACCUUCCAAAUACUAAACCCUAAAUCCUAAUCACUAAACCCUAAGCCCAAGUAUAGACUCUAAACCCAAAUAGAAUGAAAUAAAAUACAUAGUAUAGUACAAAUUGGUGAGCAAAAUAGAACACUCUUUAUUAAUCAUUAAAUGGAACAUACAUAAUACGGUCACUAAACCCAAACCUCAACCCCCACCUUCCAAAUA
rnacentral:lncRNA from 1 species